rnacentral:rRNA from 1 species
UGGGGAAUUUUGGACAAUGGGCGCAAGCCUGAUCCAGCCAUGCCGCGUGAGUGAAGAAGGCCUUCGGGUUGUAAAGCUCUUUCAGUCGGGAAGAAACCGGGUGUCCGAACAGGGUGCCUGCCUGACGGUACCGACAGAAGAAGCACCGGCUAACUACGUGCCAGCAGCCGCGGUAAUACGUAGGGUGCGAGCGUUAAUCGGAAUUACUGGGCGUAAAGCGUGCGCAGGCGGUUCGCUAAGACAGGUGUGAAAUCCCCGGGCUUAACCUGGGAAUGGCGCUUGUGACUGGCGGGCUGGAGUACGGCAGAGGGGGGUGGAAUUCCACGUGUAGCAGUGAAAUGCGUAGAGAUGUGGAGGAACACCGAUGGCGAAGGCAGCCCCCUGGGCCGAUACUGACGCU